rnacentral:rRNA from 1 species
UACGUAGGGUGCAAGCGUUGUCCGGAAUUAUUGGGCGUAAAGAGCUCGUAGGCGGUCUGUCGCGUCGGCUGUGAAAAUCCGGGGCUCAACCCCGGACUUGCGGUGGGUACGGGCAGACUAGAGUGUGGUAGGGGAGACUGGAAUUCCUGGUGUAGCGGUGAAAUGCGCAGAUAUCAGGAGGAACACCGAUGGCGAAGGCAGGUCUCUGGGCCACUACUGACGCUGAGAAGCGAAAGCGUGGGGAGCGAACAGG